UUUCCUACCUACCCGUGUCAGCUAAUUACUUUUAUACCUUAUCUUAUUUGUUUUUAUACCUAAAAAUUACUCCAUGUGUUUUCAUUGUAACAACCUUCUUCUUCCUCAUCAAAACUUUCAGCCCAUCCUCUCUUUUUGUUAGAUUCAAAUUCUUUCAAAUUUCACGAAUUCUUUCUUCAAUAUUCUGUCAGAUCCUCUCGAGUUACUACCUCAUUAUUCGAAUUCAUACAUUACGAUUAACAAAAACUGCGGAUUCAGCAAAAAAACGGUAAUGAAAUCAUGCACAAUGCAAUACAAGUUAAAAUGCGUUGAUGAAGAAUGUCAACUGAAUAUAUAUGCUUCAAAGAUAGGUCUCACAAAAUCAUUUGUGAUCCGCAAUUGCUUGAAAUCCAUACUUGCCGUUUGGAAAAUAGGAUGGGCAGUCAAUGUCAAGUUAGUUCAACCGUCAUUGCAAAUAUUAUAAAACAUAAGUUCAUGGAUGUGAAGACGAAUUAUACACCAAAUGACAUUAGGCAGGACAUGAAAAAUGAUUACAGUGUUGGUAUUGACUAUUGGAAAGUUUGGAUAUGUAGAGGAAAAACUAUAGAUCUAGUAAGAGGAACAUCACAAAAAUCAUAUGCACAA